CCCUUAGAUGUUCUGGGCCGCACCCGCGCUACACUGAUGCAUUCAACGAGUUUCUUCCUGGUCCGAGAGGAAUGGGUAACCUUUUGAAAGUGCAUCGUGAUAGGGAUAGACUAUUGCAAUUAUUGGUCUUCAACGAGGAAUUCCUAGUAGACGUAGUUCAUCAGACUGCAUCGAUUACGUCCCUGCCCUUUGUACACACCGCCCGUCGCUCCUACCGAUUGAAUGCUCAGGUGAGCCAUUCGGACUUUCAUCAUGCUGGUUUCCAGUUUUGAUGAAGGAAAGUCUUGCGAACCUUAUCAUUUAGAGGAAGGAGAAGUCGUAACA
rnacentral:rRNA from 1 species